rnacentral:rRNA from 1 species
UAGUAAAAAUUAAAAGUAAGUUCUGCCCUAUGAUUUUAUUUAAAUGGCUGCAGUAUACUGACUGUGCAAAGGUAGCAUAAUAAUUAGUCUUUUAAUUGGAGACUGGUAUGAAUGAAUAAAUGAGAGGUUUAUUUUAUUAUAAUUAAUAUUAUAAUUUAAUUUUUAAGUAAGAAAGCUUAAAUGAAUUUUAGGGACGAGAAGACCCUAUAGAAUUUUAAUUUUUUAUUUAUAAUUUGUUUUUAGUUUAAUUUAAUUAUUUUAUUUAUAUAAAUAUUUUUGUUGGGGUGACAAAUAAAUUUAUCUUUAUUUUUUAAGAUCAUUAAUUUAUGUAUAAUUUGAUCCAUUAUUUAUGAUUAUAAGAUUAAAUUACCUUAGGGAUAACAGCGUAAUUUUUAUGGGAAGUUCAUAUUUAUAUAAAAGUUUGCGACCUCGAUGUUGAAUUAAGAUAAUUUUAUGGUGCAG